GAACGUGCCUUUAGGUUCGGAAUAACUCAGGGAAACUUGUGCUAAUACCGAAUGUGCCCUUCGGGGGAAAGAUUUAUCGCCUUUAGAGCGGCCCGCGUCUGAUUAGCUAGUUGGUGAGGUAAAGGCUCACCAAGGCGACGAUCAGUAGCUGGUCUGAGAGGAUGAUCAGCCACAUUGGGACUGAGACACGGCCCAAACUCCUACGGGAGGCAGCAGUGGGGAAUCUUGCGCAAUGGGCGAAAGCCUGACGCAGCCAUGCCGCGUGAAUGAUGAAGGUCUUAGGAUUGUAAAAUUCUUUCACCGGGGACGAUAAUGACGGUACCCGGAGAAGAAGCCCCGGCUAACUUCGUGCCAGCAGCCGCGGUAAUACGAAGGGGGCUAGCGUUGCUCGGAAUUACUGGGCGUAAAGGGAGCGUAGGCGGACAUUUAAGUCAGGGGUGAAAUCCCGGGGCCCAACCUCGGAAUUGCCUUUGAUACUGGGUGUCUUGAGUAUGAGAGAGGUGUGUGGAACUCCGAGUGUAGAGGUGAAAUUCGUAGAUAUUCGGAAGAACACCAGUGGCGAAGGCGACACACUGGCUCAUUACUGACGCUGAGGCUCGAAAGCGUGGGGAGCAAA
rnacentral:rRNA from 1 species